GGGGAAUAUUGCGCAAUGGGGGAAACCCUGACGCAGCGACGCCGCGUGAAGGAAGAAGGCCUUCGGGUUGUAAACUUCUUUGAUCGGGGACGAAGAUGACGGUACCCGAGGAACAAGCCACGGCUAACUACGUGCCAGCAGCCGCGGUAAUACGUAGGUGGCAAGCGUUGUCCGGAAUUACUGGGCGUAAAGGGCGUGUAGGCGGGGGGACAAGUCAGAUGUGAAAUACCGCGGCUUAACUGCGGGGGUGCAUCUGAAACUGUUCUUCUUGAGUGUCGGAGAGGAAAGUGGAAUUCCCAGUGUAGCGGUGAAAUGCGUAGAGAUUGGGAGGAACACCAGUGGCGAAGGCGGCUUUCUGGACGAUAACUGACGCUGAGGCGCGAAAGCGUGGGGAGCAAAC
rnacentral:rRNA from 1 species